rnacentral:rRNA from 1 species
ACACAUGCAAGUCGAACGGUAACGCGGGCUUCGGCCUGGCGACGAGUGGCGAACGGGUGAGUACAACAUCGGAACGUAUCCUGAAGUGGGGGAUAGCCCGGCGAAAGCCGGAUUAAUACCGCAUGAUCUCUUAGGAGCAAAGCGGGGGAGCCGUAAGGUCCUCGCGCUAUUGGAGCGGCCGAUGCCGGAUUAGCUUGUUGGUGGGGUAAAGGCCUACCAAGGCAACGAUCCGUAGCUGGUCUGAGAGGAUGAUCAGCCACACUGGAACUGAGACACGGUCCAGACUCCUACGGGAGGCAGCAGUGGGGAAUUUUGGACAAUGGGGGCAACCCUGAUCCAGCCAUGCCGCGUGCGGGAAGAAGGCCUUCGGGUUGUAAACCGCUUUCAUACGGGACGAAAUGGUGCAGGUUAAUACCCUGUAUUGAUGACGGUACCGUAAGAAGAAGCACCGGCUAACUACGUGCCAGCAGCCGCGGUAAUACGUAGGGUGCGAGCGUUAAUCGGAAUUACUGGGCGUAAAGCGUGCGCAGGCGGCUCUUUAAGACAGGUGUGAAAUCCCCGGGCUUAACCUGGGAAUUGCGCUUGUGACUGGGGAGCUCGAGUGCGG